GUUAUCUACUUGGUUAUCUACUUAGUUUGUUAUCUACUUGGUUAGUUAUCUAGUUAGUUAUCUACUUGGUUAGUUAUCUACUUCAUUAUCUAUUUAUUUAGAUAUUUAUUUGGUUAGUUAUCUACUUGGUUAGUUAUCUACUUCAUUAUCUAUUUAUUUAGAUAUUUAUUUGGUUAGUUAUCUACUUGGUUAGUUAUCUACUUCAUUAUCUACUUGGUUAGUUAUCUACUUCAUUAUCUACUUAUUUAGAUAUUUAUUUGGUUAGUUAUCUACUUGGUUAGUUAUCUAGUUAGUUAUCUACUUGGUUAGUUAUCUAGUUAGUUAUCUACUUGGUUAGUUAUCUAGUUGGUUAUCUACUUAGUUUGUUAUCUACUUGGUUAGUUAUCUACUUCAUUAUCUACUUAUUUAGAUAUUUAUUUGGUUAGUUAUCUACUUGGUUAGUUAUCUAGUUAGUUAUCUACUUGGUUAGUUAUCUAGUUAGUUAUCUACUUGGUUAGUUAUCUACUUGGUUAUCUACUUAGUUUGUUAUCUACUUGGUUAGUUAUCUAGUUAGUUAUCUACUUGGUUAGUUAUCUACUUCAUUAUCUAUUUAUUUAGAUAUUUAUUUGGUUAGUUAUCUACUUGGUUAGUUAUCUACUUCAUUAUCUACUUGGUUAGUUAUCUACUUCAUUAUCUAUUUAUUUAGAUAUUUAUUUGGUUAGUUAUCUACUUGGUUAGUUAUCUAGUUAGUUAUCUACUUGGUUAUCUACUUAGUUUGUUAUCUACUUGGUUAGUUAUCUACUUGGUUAGUUAUCUAGUUGGUUAUCUACUUAGUUUGUUAUCUGCUUGGUUAGUUAUCAACUUCAUUAUCUACUUAUUUAGAUCUUUAUUUGGUUAGUUAUCUAGUUAGUUAUCUACUUGGUUAGUUAUCUACUUCAUUAUCUACUUGGUUAGUUAUCUACUUCAUUAUCUACUUAUUUAGAUAUUUAUUUGGUUAGUUAUCUACUUCAUUAUAUACUUAUUUAGAUAUCUACUUGGUUAGUUAUCUAGUUAGUUAUCUACUUGGUUAGUUAUCUACUUGGUUAGUUAUCUACUUGGUUAUCUACUUAGUUUGUUAUCUACUUGGUUAGUUAUCUAGUUAGUUAUCUACUUGGUUAGUUAUCUACUUCAUUAUCUAUUUAUUUAGAUAUUUAUUUGGUUAGUUAUCUACUUGGUUAGUUAUCUACUUCAUUAUCUAUUUAUUUAGAUAUUUAUUUGGUUAGUUAUCUACUUGGUUAGUUAUCUACUUCAUUAUCUACUUGGUUAGUUAUCUACUUCAUUAUCUACUUAUUUAGAUAUUUAUUUGGUUAGUUAUCUACUUGGUUAGUUAUCUAGUUAGUUAUCUACUUGGUUAGUUAUCUAGUUAGUUAUCUACUUGGUUAGUUAUCUACUUGGUUAGUUAUCUAGUUGGUUAUCUACUUAGUUUGUUAUCUGCUUGGUUAGUUAUCAACUUCAUUAUCUACUUAUUUAGAUAUCUACUUGGUUAGUUAUCUAGUUAGUUAUCUACUUGGUUAGUUAUCUACUUCAUUAUCUAUUUAUUUAGAUAUUUAUUUGGUUAGUUAUCUACUUGGUUAGUUAUCUACUUCAUUAUCUAUUUAUUUAGAUAUUUAUUUGGUUAGUUAUCUACUUGGUUAGUUAUCUACUUCAUUAUCUACUUGGUUAGUUAUCUACUUCAUUAUCUACUUAUUUAGAUAUUUAUUUGGUUAGUUAUCUACUUGGUUAGUUAUCUAGUUAGUUAUCUACUUGGUUAGUUAUCUAGUUAGUUAUCUACUUGGUUAGUUAUCUAGUUGGUUAUCUACUUAGUUUGUUAUCUGCUUGGUUAGUUAUCAACUUCAUUAUCUACUUAUUUAGAUAUUUAUUUGGUUAGUUAUCUAGUUAGUUAUCUACUUAGUUAGUUAUCUACUUCAUUAUCUACUUAUUUAGAUAUUUAUUUGGUUAGUUAUCUACUUGGUUAGUUACAGUGCCUUGCGAAAGUAUUCGGCCCCCUUGAACUUUGCGACCUUUUGCCACAUUUCAGGCUUCAAACAUAAAGAUAUAAAACUGUAUUUUUUGUGAAGAAUCAACAACAAGUGGGACACAAUCAUGAAGUGGAACGACAUUUAUUGGAUAUUUCAAACUUUUUUAACAAAUCAAAAACUGGAAAAUUGGGCGUGCAAAAUUAUUCAGCCCCCUUAAGUUAAUACUUUGUAGCGCCACCUUUUGCUGCGAUUACAGCUGUAAGUCGCUUGGGGUAUGUCUCUAUCAGUUUUGCACAUCGAGAGACUGAAAUUUUUUCCCAUUCCUGCUUGCAAAACAGCUCGAGCUCAGUGAGGUUGGAUGG
ensembl:lncRNA